CCUCACUUGUGGCAUGUCAGCGAGUCCCAGCUUAGCGCAGGCACAGUCAGCGAUUUAAGUUGAAGUUAAGCAUUUAAUAAUAACGUGACACUGUAUCGAUCCAUGUGGAGAAAGUUUGUGUCAUGGUCGGCUGUGGAGCAGGUGCAGCCUUGCUGAAAGGCACUUCAGCAGUGACAGUAAAGGCAUGACUCACAGGACCUGCGUUUGGCUGCUUGUGAGAGUGAGUGCAGAGCGCUCUGGUGAGAAGCCAGACAAGGACUCAGAGCCUGGAGCCAACCCGCAUCCUCUGUGACCCCAGCCUUUGUGACGACGAUGCACUUCCUACAGCUUCCUGGCAACUCUCGUUUCCCUUUCUUGUCUCCAAGGCUUCCCUGUCACUAUGGAGUACAUCACAUCAAAGGACAGGAAACAAACGUCUACUUUUUUUUCCCAUCAAAGAGAUAUUUCAGGCACAUGUAGUACUUAGAAUAGCGGCAAAGGCCUGCACAAAUAUCGUCUAAAAUAAAAUCAGAA